GGCGAACGCUGGCGGCGUGCUUAACACAUGCAAGUCGAGCGGUAAGGCCCUUUCGGGGGUACGACGAGCGGCGAACGGGUAGAGUAACACGUGGGUGACCUGCCCUCAGCUCUGGGAUAAGCCUGGGAAACGUGGGUCUAAUACUGGAUAUGACUCCACGGUGCAUGUCGGUGGGGUGGAAAGCCUUGUGCGGCUGAGGAUGGGCCCGCGGCCUAUCAGCUUGUUGGUGGGGUGANGG
rnacentral:rRNA from 1 species